rnacentral:rRNA from 1 species
AUUGAACGCUGGCGGCAGGCCUAACACAUGCAAGUCGAACGGUAACACGAAGAACCUUCCUUCUUUGCUUUCGAGGGGCGGACGGGUGAGACAUGUCUGGGAAACUGCCUGAUGGAGGGGGAUAAUUACUGGAAACGGUACCUAAUACCGCAUAACGUCGCAAGACCAAAGAGGGAGACCUUCAGGCCUCUUUCCAUCCGAUGUGCCAAGAUGGCAUUAGCUAGUAGGUGGGGUAACGGCUCACCUAGGCGACGAUCCCUAGCUGGUCUGAGAGGAUGAACAGCCACACUGGAACUGAGACACGGUCCAGACUCCUACGGGAGGCGGCAGUGGGGAAUAUUGCACAAUGGGCGCAAGCCUGAUGCAGCCAUGCCGCGUGUAUGAAGAAGGCCUUCGGGUUGUAAAGUACUUUCAGCGGGGAGGAAGGGAGUAGAGUUAAUACCUUCGCUCAUUGACGUUACCCGCAGAAGAAGCCCCGGCUAACUCCGUG